UAGGGAAUCUUCGGCAAUGGAGGAAAGUCUGACCGAGCAACGCCGCGUGAGUGAAGAAGGUUUUCGGAUCGUAAAACUCUGUUGGUAGAGAAGAACGUUGGUGAGAGUGGAAAGCUCAUCAAGUGACGGUAACUACCCAGAAAGGGACGGCUAACUACGUGCCCG
rnacentral:rRNA from 1 species